rnacentral:lncRNA from 1 species
CUUAAGCUAAAAACUAGAAGAAUUGCAUAAGUGCUCUGUUUCCUUCAUAAGUAAUAAGACUAUAGCUAGUAACUACUUAAAAGUCUUGGAAGCUAUUGAAAAUACUAAGUGUCUAAAGAUUUUUAGAAUGAAUGAAAGGACAGGUUUUAAAAAGACAUAAACCAACAGAACAAGAACACAUUGGAGAAUGAAAAGGAAGAAAAUAUUCAAACCUUGAAAUUCCUAGCUUCGUGUGACAGUGAUGGUUUGUGUGGGAUUGAUAAAGAUUAAAGUUCUAUUUAUAGGGGAGUUUGAAUGAUUAUUGUGGACAAUUAGGAGACCACGUUUUCUCUUCUACUUAAGCCCACGUUUUCAUUUCCACUUGUGAAGAAAGAUUAAGCCACGUUAAUACAUGAGGUAUAAUUCCUAUCUCUUAAUUUUUAUUUAAUUUUUCAUUUAAUUUUAAUAACAUUUUUACCUAGAUAUUUUUGUGAUCUCAAAAUUAUUUUUCUUUUAUUUUUCUGAGAUAUAAAUUUAUACUGUUGAGUAAACUACUGUCCGAAAUUCGGUAGAAUUUUAAGCCCAAACUUUUAUCAUAGCUUACUAAAAUAUUUCAUGAUUGAUUUCUAAAAUUACUUUUCUUAAAU